rnacentral:ncRNA from 1 species
CACAGGUUUGGUCCUGGCCUUUCUAUUAGUUCUUAAUAAAAUUACACAUGCAAGUAUCCGCGCCCCGGUGAGAAUGCCCUCCAGAUCUUAAAGAUCAAAAGGAGCAGGUAUCAAGCACACCUAUAACGGUAGCUCAUAACGCCUUGCUCAACCACACCCCCACGGGAAACAGCAGUGAUAAAAAUUAAGCCAUGAACGAAAGUUUGACUAAGUUAUAUUAAUCAGAGUUGGUAAAUCUCGUGCCAGCCACCGCGGUCAUACGAUUAACCCAAAUUAAUAGAUCCACGGCGUAAAGAGUGUUUAAGAAAAAACCACAAUAGAGUUAAAUUAUAACUAAGCUGUAAAAAGCCCUAGUUAAAAUAAAAUAACCCACGAAAGUGACUCUAAUAAUUCUGACACACGAUAGCUAGGACCCAAACUGGGAUUAGAUACCCCACUAUGCCUAGCCCUAAACCCAAAUAGUUACAUAACAAAACUAUUCGCCAGAGUACUACUCGCAACUGCCUAAAACUCAAAGGACUUGGCGGUGCUUCACAUCCACCUAGAGGAGCCUGUUCUAUAAUCGAUAAACCCCGAUAGACCUUACCAACCCUUGCCAAUUCAGCCUAUAUACCGCCAUCUUCAGCAAACCCUAAAAAGGAACAAUAGUAAGCACAAUCAUAACACAUAAAAACGUUAGGUCAAGGUGUAGCUUAUGGGUUGGAAAGAAAUGGGCUACAUUUUCUACAUAAGAACACCCACCAUACGAAAGUUUUUAUGAAACUAAAAACCAAAGGAGGAUUUAGCAGUAAAUCAAGAAUAGAGUGCUUGAUUGAAUAAGGCCAUGAAGCACGCACACACCGCCCGUCACCCUCCUCAAGCAUGUAGUAAUAAAAAUAACCUAUAUUUAAUUACACAACCAUGCAAGAAGAGACAAGUCGUAACAAGGUAAGCAUACUGGAAAGUGUGCUUGGACUAC